UAUCAUCUCCUAGGAGAUACAUUAUUUGGAGCACUCACUUGAAUACUCAUGUAUCGCCGGAGUACAUUAUCAGCUUUAAAGCCUCUUGUUGCUCGAAAGGGUGCUUGACAACUCCGGAGAAUUCACCAAAAUCCACUUGCCCUUGGAUACCAUUUCCGAUAAUGAUUUCGGAGCUCUCGAAGGUCUUACCUCCAUCUCAUGUCAGUUUGAUCUCCAAGUAUCUUGAGGACUUCAAUGAGAGUAAGAUUCCAAGGCAUGAGCUGAUACAAAAAUUCAGGGAAAUAGCAGGGGAUAGGUUGCUGAAUGGAAUUUUUGAAAAAUUCAAAACUAAGCAAUCUGGAGCGUCAAGCAGCUGAUUAUGGGACCAUGGAUGGAUUGGAAUAUGAAUGAGAUGUGAGGCGUGCUAAUAAGAUCGGUUUUCGUUUUGAUGAGUUCCUAACACCCAACAGUGGGAGGCGAUGGUAUACAAGAUGUGGAGGAGGUCCAUCUGGAAUCAUAGAUAGGAAAAAGACUCCUUUGGAAUUUGAAUAAUCUGCUGUUCUUUUGGAAAAUUUGUGUUUGCUUGUAAUCAUCGGCAGUACUUUAAUCCCAGUUCCUAUGUCACAUUGACUGUUUGUUUCCGGAAGUUAUGAAGACCUUUGGA